rnacentral:lncRNA from 1 species
AUGGCUGCACUCUUGCUGAGACAUGUUGGAGUGGUCAUUGCCUCCGAGCGCACUUUAGCCCUCAGCUUUGUAUCAGAAAUGCUGUUCCUUUGGGAAUCAUGGCCAAAGAAGAGAUGGAAUGGUUCUGGAAUAAGAACACAGGUUCAAACCGUCCCGUAUCUCCCCACGUCACUAUCUAGAGUUGGUGUCUUCCUAUGUCGAUGUCCAUCUGCCACCAUGGCUCUGGUAUUGCUUUGAGCACAGGGGUCUCUUUUUGGCAUGUCAGCCCUGUUACUCCCAGGAAAGUUUAAGUCUUACUUGGAACUCAUUGGUCCCUGUGUCUGGGGCCAGCACUGAUGGACACAACUAAGUUUGCACUCGUCUUCCCUCUCAUGUAUCAUACCUGGAAUGGGAUCCAACACUUGAUGUGGGACCUAGGAAAAGGCCUGAAGAUUCCCCAGCUAUACCAGUCUGGAGUGGUUGUCCUGGUUCUUACUGUGUUAUUUGUAGGGCUGGCAGCUGUGUGA